rnacentral:rRNA from 1 species
AAAUUGUUGUUGAAAGCAGUUGCUCAAGCUAUUCCUGUGUUUGCCAUGUCGGUGUUUAAUAUCCCUAAGGGGGUCUGUAAGGACAUAACGGACCUCAUAGCACAGUUUUGGUGGGGAGGCGAUGGAGACAAGAAAAGUAUGCACUGGUAUUCCUGGUGGAAACUAUGUAUUCCAAAGAAGAUGGGAGGAAUGGGGUUUCGACACCUUCACUCUUUUAAUUUGGCCUUGCUAGCUAAGCAGUGUUGGAGAUUGAUAACUUGUCCAGAUUCCCUUUGUGCUAAGGUGCUGCGUGCUAAGUAUUAUCCGCAUGGCAAUUUAUUAUUUGCUGGACAAAAAAAUGGCUCCUCUUUUACUUGGCAAAGUUCGGUAGCAGGGUUGCAAACAUUUAAAAGGGGACAUAUUUGGCGCAUUGGUGAUGGUAACAAGGUUAAUAUUUGGACAGAUCCAUGGAUCCCAUCUAGUCUAGACCGUCAUAUAAUCACGCAAAGGGGUCAAACUCUAAUCUCCAAGGUAUUAGACCUAAUUGACACGACAAACGGAGAAUGGAUGAAGUACUGA